rnacentral:ncRNA from 1 species
UAUUUAUUGUUAUUUCGUUAAUGAUAGAGUAGUUCCGCGUUCCUUUUGAGUUCCGUGUUCUUUUAAAACACUGAGCAAAAUUAAUCGUCUAAAAAGCACAAAUUGCUUUUUUUUCAUUUUUGUAAAAGUACCUCAAAUGCAUCUUAUAAUGACGUUGUAUUCAAACGCAAAUUUAUAUAUGUGUGCUCGCGGGAGCUUUUACACUUUGAAGUGCUGAAGGGGCUAUGGCGACGAUAAUUAAUCGAAACGGGACUCUCUUAAGGUAGCCAAAUGCCUCGUCAUCUAAUUAAUGACGCGCAUGAAUGGAUUAACGAGAUUCCCACUGUCCCUAUCUACUAUCUAGCGAAACCACAGCCAAGGGAACGGGCUUGGCGAACACAGCGGGGAAAGAAGACCCUGUUGAGCUUGACUCUAGUCCGACUCUGUGAAGAGUCAUGAGAGGUGUAGCAUAAGUGGGAGG